UCUCAUCCCAGGCUGGUUUCUGCCGUCGCCGGCGCCGGUGUGGGCGUGGGCCGGGUGCAGGCCAUCUCGGCACUCUCCCUGUCGGUGGGGGCAUCCCGUCGGGGCACCUUCCGCUCCUCCGCCUCGCACCUCCGGGUGCCCGGCGGGGCACCUUCGGCCCUUGCGCGCAUUGCCUGCAGCCUGCAUGUCGGCAUUNGCCGNCUGUUGGCGGGGUCCCUGGCCCGCCCACGGCGCACGCAUCCGUCGCUGGUCUGCUGCGGCUGCUCCUGCCGCCUUGGCCCUGCGCCCCUGUGUCCCCAGCACUUCCCUUCACUGGGG
rnacentral:rRNA from 1 species